AGAACUGAGUCUGGACAUCACA
rnacentral:miRNA from 1 species